rnacentral:rRNA from 1 species
AAGCACAGGGACACAUAAGAAGUCUCAGAGCCGGGUGUUGGUUCCGGUAGAGAUCGAGGGAAGAUAGUACCGAAGUCUGGGAUGGAAGAUGGCGAGAAAAGCUGUGUGGAUUUCUGAGGUGCCCGUACCGCAAACCGACACAGGUAGGUAGGAAGAAGAUUCUAAGGCCAACGGGAGAAGGGUUGUUAAGGAACUCGGCAAAUUGACCCCGUAACUUCGGGAGAAGGGGUGCUCCAGAGAUGGAGCCGCAGAGAAUCGGCCCAAGCAACUGUUUACCAAAAACACAGGUUUGUGCUAAAUCGAAAGAUGACGUAUACGAGCUGACGCCUGCCCGGUGCUGGAAGGUUAAGAGGAGAUGUGCAAGCAUUGAAUCGAAGCCCCAGUGAACGGCGGCCGUAACAAUAACGGUCCUAAGGUAGCGAAAUUCCUUGUCAGGUAAGUUCUGACCCGCAUGAAAGGCGUAAUGAUUUGGGCACUGUCUCAACAGCCCGCCCGGCGAAAUUGUAGUACCGGUGAAGAUGCCGGUUACCCGCGACAAGACGGAAAGACCCCAUGGAGCUUUACUGUAGCCUAAUAUUGGGUUUCGAUGUUGCAUGCACAGGAUAGAUGGGACUCUAGGAAGUGAUCGCUUUGGCGGUCAUGGAGAGGACGUUGGGAUACCAUCCUUGCGAUAUUGGAAUUCUAACCUGCGGCUCUGAAUCGAGUCGGGGGACAUUGUUAGGUGGGCAGUUUGACUGGGGCGGUCGCCUCCUAAAAAGUAACGGAGGCGUUCAAAGGUUCGCUCAGCUUGAACGGAAAUCAAGCAAAAGAGUGCAAACGCAGAAGCGAGCCUAACUGCGAGACUGACGGGUCGAGCAGUAACGAAAGUUGGAGUUAGUGAUCCGGUGGUAUGUGAGUGGAAAUGCAUCGCUCAACGGAUAAAAGUUACCCUGGGGAUAACAGGCUGAUCUCCCCCAAGAGUCCACAUCGACGGGGAGGUUUGGCACCUCGAUGUCGGCUCAUCGCAUCCUGGGGCUGUAUUCGGUCCCGAGGGUUUGGCUGUUCGCCAAUUAAAGCGGUACGCGAGCUGGGUUCAGAACGUCGUGAGACAGUUCGGUCCCUAUCUGUCGUGGGCGCAGGAUAUUUGAUGGGAGCUGUCCCUAGUACGAGAGGACCGGGACGGACGUACCUCUGGCGCACCAGUUGUUCCGCCAGGAGCGUAGCUGGGCAACUACGUACGGAUCGGAUAAACGCUGAAAGCAUCUAAGCGUGAAGCCGACCCAAAGAUAAGAUAUCCCAUUGCUUAAGGCAAGUAAGAUCCCUUGAAGACUACAAGGUUGAUAGGCACAAUGUGUAAGUGGAGUGAUCCAUUCAGCAAGUGUGUACUAAUAGAUCGAGGGCUUGACCG